UACGAAGGGGGCUAGCGUUGUUCGGAAUUACUGGGCGUAAAGGGCGCGUAGGCGGUGUGUCAAGUCAGGCGUGAAAGCCCCGGGCUCAACCUGGGAACCGCGCUUGAGACUGGCACGCUCGAGUUCGGGAGAGGAUGGUGGAAUUCCCAGUGUAGAGGUGAAAUUCGUAGAUAUUGGGGAAGAACACCGAUGGCGAAAGGCCAGCCAUCUGGACCGACACUGACGCUGAGGCGCGAAAGCGUGGGGAGCAAACAGG
rnacentral:rRNA from 1 species